CACGGGGUCGAUUUUUUAAAAUGAAAAUAAAAUUUCGACCACGUGUGGUCGAAAUUAAUUUUUGUAUAAAUAAUAAAUGGGAAACGUUUAAAUUAAAAAAAAAAAAAAUUCGACCACAUGUGGUCGAAAAUUGGACCACAUUUGUAUAUACACACUUCUUUGCAAAUCUGUUCAGCACCACACUUGACCACUUUUUUAUUUUUUCUUUCUCUCUCUUUCCUCUCUCCCUCUCUUCUCUCUACCCACACCACCAGCCCACCGCCCCACCAGCCCAGACCUCAACCAACCGCCUCCGACCACCGCCAGUCCACCGUCGGCGGCGCAGACACUUCAUGUUGAUAGGGAAAAGGAAUAAGGGACAAUGUACUGUUGAAUUCGAAUGGAUGAAAUUGAGGUAAGUAGUCUCUUAUUUUAGUUGUUUCAUUUUGCUGCCUUGGUCAAGAAGUCCUUCCAUUGUUUCUUUGCUAUGGUGUGUUACUUUGAUAAGAGGUGACAUUACACUUGAGUUACUGAAUCUUGACAAAACUGUAUCUGCUUCUUGCUGUGGGUUCUUGGACCACAUUUUUGAAAUGAAUUGGCUUCUUACUACACUUGGGCCGAUUAAGGGUAUUUAACUUGAGGCCACAUUUUUAAAAGAACAGAUUUCUAUACAUGAUGAAAAUUUACUAAUUUGAAUAGAUACUUAACUUGAGGAUGCCCAGUCCGGAAAGGUUUUAUCCCUCGGUGGGCAAGGAUGAUCUCACAUUGACUUCACGAGGUAGGAACCAACAUGCGCUUGGCAAGGCAACUAGAAAAGCCACUAGUUUGUAGCCGCGACAUGAUUCAGGUUCCUUUGCCAUAUUCGGAACCGUGAGUCUGAGCCUCCGUAAUCAAAGCUCUCAAAGUUUGAUACGAGUCCGCGGGAUAUUAGUUAUGUUCCUAAACGUCACCCUACGGGGUGGCGUAUCAUUUUUUCUAACAUUUUCCUUUCAUAUUUUUGCAAGGUACAAAUAACGCGAGGCAGUAGAACAAAGAUGUACCAAAAGUUGAAGCGAAGAAAUUUGGAAGCACGGCAUGUUUGGCCUAAGAACUAGAAAAGGCGCAAAUAAGGCUCAAGUCUUAAACCUUAUUUAUUUCUAUCUAAAAUUAUGUAUCCAAGUAUUACAUGUAGAUGUUGGGUAUGCAAGCCCAAAUUAAUAGUUUAUGAUGGAUAUGUUUAAAUGGAUAUGUAUAUUAUCUUUAAGGGUUUGAAUGUAGUUUUAGUUCGAAUUAGAAGUACUUUUAAGUUUAUAAUGUUUAAGUGUUUGAAUGAUGUUUAAGUGUUUGAAUGUAGUUUAUGAUGUUUAAGUGUUUGAAUGUAGUUUUAAUUUUAAGUACUUUGAGGUUGAGUUUGAUUGUUUAUAAGUGUUUGAAUGGACAAUAUUUAAGUGUUCAAGUGUUUAAA